UACAGAGGUCUCAAGCGUUGUUCGGAUUCAUUGGGCGUAAAGGGUGCGUAGGUGGCGGGGUAAGUCAGGUGUGAAAUUUCGGAGCUUAACUCCGAAACUGCAUUUGAUACUGCCUUGCUUGAGGACUGGAGAGGAGACUGGAAUUCACGGUGUAGCAGUGAAAUGCGUAGAGAUCGUGAGGAAGACCAGUGGCGAAGGCGGGGUCUCUGGGCAGUAACUGACGCUGAGGAG
rnacentral:rRNA from 1 species